CAAAUAAUAUUUUGAUAAAAGAAAAAUAAACAAACACGAUAGCGGUUCGAAUAGAGUUAGUAAUAAUCACUUAAUUCUCCCAUUAUUCAUGGAUUGACAAUCAAGUAUUGGCAUAAUAUUAGACAAGAGCAGUAAUUUCCACUUCUUAAUGAUUCCGAAUGUGUCAGAAAAAGAAACAGUUGGCCGUUGUGCGACAAACCAUGCAGAGGAUUCGGGAAGAUAGUUAAAUGUGGAGUCGUUGGUGAGUGCGAGGAAAUCUGUAACGUUCGGUACAGUUAGAAAAAUCUGAAAUUACUAAAGAACGAUGGUCUUUAUCUCUUCAUGAACCUUCUUUCUUGUACUUGUACUGCAUUACGUACUUACCUAAACGACUGAAAUCCUCGAAGUUGUAUAUCUAAGACUGUGAAUUCAUAUUUCCAAUGUAUCAAGCCAAGUUAUGAGAACCAUAACAUGUGACUUAUAGGCUCUUUUAACGAAUUUUUAUAUAACAACACAUAUUUAAUGACGACAGCGCCUCUAAAAAAAUCAUUCGACACUCAUGCAAUUAUUUAAUUUGAUUAAUUGCCGUACGUAUGCUUGGAGUCAACUCUAUGGGAAGGUUUUAGGACCUCAAAAAUUUUAGGUUUACCUUUCAAUUACAUAAAAAUACAAUCCUUCUUAUUUCUUCUGAUCAUGACUCUACAAUUCUAAUGGAACUUAAUUUCGUAUAUGUAAAUAUAAUAAAGUAAAAUAUGUUUAUUAUCUUAAUAUUGAAACAUAUCAAACAUAUUUAUUUACAAAUAUUUGGAAAAUGGAGACACACAUUUAUAAUUUAGAU
rnacentral:lncRNA from 1 species